ACAGGACACCGUCGCUUUGGGGCCUUUGACACGUUUGUCGCACGCAAAUGCCGACAGUAAAGACGCGCGAGCAGGUGAAGCGAAAUUCACGAAAUAAAUUGUUGCACAGAUUAAAUUCAAAAAUGACUGAGAAUGAUGUGGACAACGAGCUGUUAGACUACGAGGAGGAUGAGGUGGAUGCGACAGGAGGUGUCGGGGACGGAGGGCUCGCUGGAGACGGCAGCACCGUGGCCUUGAGGAAAGAGGGACUCAAAGGAUCCUACGUUUCCAUCCACUCCUCAGGGUUCAGGGACUUCCUGUUAAAGCCUGAGCUCCUCAGGGCCAUUGUGGACUGCGGCUUCGAGCAUCCGUCUGAGGUUCAGCAUGAGUGCAUUCCACAAGCUAUCUUGGGCAUGGAUGUGUUGUGCCAGGCCAAGUCGGGUAUGGGGAAGACGGCGGUCUUUGUCUUGGCAACACUCCAGCAGCUGGAGCCAGUGACUGGACAGGUAUCAGUGCUGGUGAUGUGUCAUACCCGAGAGCUGGCAUUCCAGAUCAGCAAAGAGUAUGAACGCUUCUCCAAGUACAUGCCUGCUGUCAAGGUGGCGGUGUUCUUUGGCGGUUUGCCUAUAAAGAAGGAUGAGGAGACGCUGAAGAGAGAGAGUCCUCACAUAGUGGUGGGAACACCCGGCCGCAUCCUGGCCCUUUCACGCAACAAAAGUCUCAACCUGCGCCACAUCAAACACUUCAUCCUGGACGAGUGUGACAAAAUGCUGGAACAGCUUGACAUGCGACGUGACGUUCAGGAGAUUUUCCGCAUGACCCCGCACGAGAAGCAGGUCAUGAUGUUCAGCGCCACUUUGAGCAAAGAAAUCCGGCCCGUCUGCCGAAAGUUCAUGCAAGAUCCCAUGGAGAUAUUUGUGGAUGACGAGACCAAGCUGACCCUGCACGGCCUGCAGCAGUACUACGUCAAGCUGAAAGACAACGAGAAGAACAGGAAACUGUUUGAUCUGCUGGACGUGCUGGAGUUCAACCAGGUGGUGAUCUUUGUGAAGUCAGUGCAGCGCUGCAUCGCUCUCGCUCAGCUGCUGGUGGAGCAGAACUUCCCCGCCAUCGCCAUCCACAGAGCAAUGCCUCAGGAGGAGAGGCUCGCUCGAUAUCAGCAGUUUAAAGACUUUCAGAGGCGCAUCCUCGUGGCCACUAACCUGUUUGGCAGAGGAAUGGACAUCGAAAGAGUCAACAUCGCUUUUAACUACGACAUGCCCGAGGAUUCAGACACGUACCUGCACAGGGUUGGUGGCCAGGGCGGGCAGGUUUGGCACAAAAGGUCUAGCCAUCACGUUUGUGUCAGAUGAAAGCGAUGCCCGAACGCUGAAUGACGUUCAGGACAGGUUUGAGGUGAACAUCAGUGAGCUUCCAGAGGAGAUCGACAUCUCGUCUUACAUUGAGCAGACGCGAUAAAGCAGAGAAGGAGAAGAGGUGGCGAGUUGUGUCGAGGACGCCUGGGAGAGCAGCACUCAGUAGCCUGCAUUUCACACAGACUGUUAGAGAAGUUUAGUGAGAAUGUAAACCUGACAAAAAAUAAAUAAAUCAGUAGAUCUAAUAAUCCAACACUUACACGGGUUCUUAAAUGCCUCUGAAGUUUCUCUGAUGCUUAAAUAUAUAUAUACAAAAAAAGCUUUGUUUAUUUUAAGAUAUAGAGCCAAGAUGUUAAAAUGUGUUUGUAAAGGAUUUUAUUUACCUUUUCAAAGGUUUCAUUUAUUUCCUGAUUGUGGUAGACUUUUUUUUUUUUAUCCGAGUGCAGUGGUUGUUUCGUUUUUGUUCGCGUGUUGGGUUGAGCUAUGUUAUUUUGAUCGUAAAUGAAGCAUCAGUGUAAAAUAGUCGAAUAGUAAGCUGUGCUAGUAGUUAUUAAUGAAGGCAUGAUGGAUAUGGAGUUAUAAAAGAGUGUUAAUGUGCCUGAUACACUAAUCUGUGUUCUGUGUUUAGUGCUUGUCAGAAAUAAUAACGCACUAUGUUUGUUUAUUUACAGCUACUUUUGUGUUAAUAAUCAAAAUGUGUGCAAUAUUGUAUUGAAUUAACAUUAGUAUUGAGAUGCUGUACAGUAAAGGUGCAUUAGGUACGAGUUUUCCUUUUUAUAUUUCAUAACUGGUUGCAGUUGCAAUCAUUAGACAUUGCAAACCUACAGCAAAGUAUUAACCUGUAAGAAUUCUAGCUUUUCUUUUCAACAGUUAAAAGAAAAAGAGAGCACUCAGUUUUUCCUACAUAAUGCACCUUUAGGACUUUUUGGUACUUCUCAUAGCGCUUACCAGUAUUCAGAAUUCAAAAUUGAAUUUCGUAAUUAAAUACAAAACACAAA